UUUUUGACUUCAAUAUCAGCCAUCUCGCUGAUUUCCUUCUUCUUCAAUGCUCUCUUCUUCUUCUUCUUCUUCUCUGGUUUUUCCCUCUUCUUAAUUUUGUUGUUCUUUUCAUUUUGGUUCUUGAAAAACUAUGAGCUUUGUUUCACGAUUCUUUUUCUAUAUGUAUUCUUGGUCCGUCUGAUGUUACAGAUUUCUGAAGUAUUUCAUGAGGAAUAAACGGGUGAAGGUUGCAAGGAAGCUGCUUCAUAGUGAUCUAUGGGCGGCUUAUAUUGAUAGGUGCAACUUGAACAAUUUUGUGUCUCUGGGAGUAAAAUAAGGGAGCUUGCUAUGCCAUGAUCCACGAGUAUGUCAAUCAUCGUGCUUACAUAACUUUUAAAAUUACAAAAUCUCCUUUUCUCUCUCUUUCGCUAUUCUGCUAUUUCCUUUAUGCUUUGCUACUUCAACAGUUGAAUGAGAAGUUCAGGAUGUCAUCUUUCUUUAGGUGAGUGGUUCAAUUCUUCUGGGCUUCUCUGGAUCUAUAUGUUUGAAUUUUCUUCUCUUUUUAUCUUUAUAUUUCGUUCAUGAAUUCUGUUUUUGUUUUCUUCUGAGUUUACUUUAUGCUUGCUACAAUCUUCUAGCAUCUACUGUGUUUGUGAAGUCAGGUAAAUUUUCUUCCAUGUUUCUUUAUUUCUUGCGUUGUGUUCCCACUUCUGGCUUUCACUUUUAGAUUUCUAUGAACUUUUUGUCUAUUUUUUGUUUGAUGUUGGUUUCUCUGUUCUUUUAAAUAAUUUCUUGCAAGAUUUUCUACAUGCAUGUCUGGUAUUUUAUUUGAUUUUUAUAUGCAUGUUUGGAAAGAAAUACCUAGGUGCAUGUCCUUAAUUUCUGAUUUUGGUUUUGUUCUGAGUUUAGCUGUAUUAAUGGGGGUUUUGGUGUAAAAAUUUGUUAUUUAAACGCGAAGAUUGUGUCCUUUAUCUACUGGUUAUUCACUCUUUUUGAGUUUCUCCACUUUUCUUCUAUUUGUAUAUGGUGUGAGAUUUUUGAUUGCAAAGUUACUUGUGCAAGCUGCGUUUUUCUAAAUAAAAGCUGCUAAGAUAAAACUUUCUUUAACUGGGGUAGUGGCGGUUUUUCACGUUACAGCCAACGUCACAUUCAUCGGUGAGUAUUUUGAUUCAAAAUUCACUUAUGUUUGUUUCGUGAUACAUUGAAGUGCUUGAAUUAACCCUAUACAUUUUAUAUGUGGAUGUUCGUUUUCCUGGUCCUAUUCUUUUUGUCAUUCUGAAAGAAAACUGUGUUAGAGUUGUUAACCAAUUCCUAUUGACUUCUGAUUUAAAAUAGAAGCUUCUGACUUUAUAGCUGAAUAUAGUCUAUAGUAGAUUUCUUUAACUGGUUUCUAUAUUCUAAACCAUAUACAUUAUACCUUAUAUAUGUCUCCUCAAGUUCCUAUA